rnacentral:rRNA from 1 species
UGGGGGAUAUUGCACAAUGGGGGGAACCCUGAUGCAGCGACGCCGCGUGAGCGAUGAAGUAUUUCGGUAUGUAAAGCUCUAUCAGCAGGGAAGAAAAUGACGGUACCUGACUAAGAAGCCCCGGCUAACUACGUGCCAGCAGCCGCGGUAAUACGUAGGGGGCAAGCGUUAUCCGGAUUUACUGGGUGUAAAGGGAGCGUAGACGGCUGUGCAAGUCUGAAGUGAAAGGCAAGGGCUCAACCUUUGGACUGCUUUGGAAACUGUGCAGCUAGAGUGUCGGAGAGGCAAGUGGAAUUCCUAGUGUAGCGGUGAAAUGCGUAGAUAUUAGGAGGAACACCAGUGGCGAAGGCGGCUUGCUGGACGAUGACUGACGUUGAGGCUCGAAAGCGUGGGGAGCAAACA